rnacentral:lncRNA from 1 species
CGCGUGCCCAUCGACCCGAGCCACUCGCACAGGGCCUGACGUGUCCACCCGGCAUGGUCGUCCUGAUCAAAGACGGCGCGCACGGCGCGCUCCAACCGCGCGUCCGACUCGGGAUCGAGCGUGCACGCGUGGUCCAUGACGGCGGCGAUCAUGUCAUCGCGUGAUUCAACGCCCAACAGGCGAAAGACGUCGAUCACGGGCACAUUGGUCUCGACAAAGGGCAUGCGCACCUCGACAUGGGGCCGUGCCGCCGCCAAGUACACAUAGAGGGUCGACGUGCUGCGGAUCUUGGACUCGUGGCGCGGCCGGAUCUCGCACACGUGCGAGUAUUUCGUGUGCUUGUGGUCGAGCAUGACGCACGCAUGGUUGAUGCGCAUUUUGAUCUGCGACACCAACAUCUUGGCGCUGCCGCGCACGACAAAGGCGCCCGGUCGCUCCAGCGGGCACUCGCCGGCCAGGUGGGGCGACCCGCGCAGCCGACAGUAGCGGCUGCCCACCAUGCAGGGCACCUGGCACAGGACGGCCUCCUUGGAGCGCACGGUGCGGCACAGCGGGAGGCCCGUGCAGUCGCCGCCGCGCUCCUUGAGUUGCUCCUUGCUGAUGCCCGUGGUGUCAAACACCGUGUAGAGGAGGUCGCACGUCACCGUGCACGCAUAGACCAGGCCGCGCAUGCGACACUCGCGCGGGAACACGGGACGCACGAUGCCGUCGGCCUCGCGCACCGACGGCUUGUGCACGGUGACGGCGCCGAAUUCGAGCACGAACCGGCGCCGCGCCGGGUCCGAGUCGAUCACCACGCGGUUGUUUUCGGCGACGAUGGCCGGCAGGUAGACGUCCAUAAACUUGUCAAAGCCGUCCACCUGGUGGCGUGUGAGGCCGCGCGCAUGGACGAGCGCCGCCGCAAGCGCCAACCGC